GCUUUCGCGUCUCGUUGUUUGCGGCAGGAACAUGGCGGAUCGGCUCACGCAGUUGCAGGACGCCGUGAACUCGGUUUUUAAAAUGCCUGCCAAUGAGUUUACUCCCUAUGAAAAGUCAGGUGUUCUUGCAGAUCAGUUUUGUAAUGCCAUUGGAGUGUUGCAGCAGUGUGGUCCUCCUGCCUCUUUUAGUAAUAUUCAGACAGCCAUUAACAAAGAUCAGCCAGCUAAUCCUACAGAAGAAUAUGCCCAGCUUUUUGCAGCGUUGAUUGCACGAACAGCAAAAGACAUUGAUGUUUUGAUAGAUUCCUUACCCAGUGAAGAAUCUACAGCUGCUUUACAGGCUGCAAGCUUGUAUAAGCUGGAAGAAGAAAAUCACGAAGCUGCUACAUGUCUGGAGGAUGUUGUUUAUCGAGGGGACAUGCUUCUGGAAAAGAUACAGAGCGCACUUGCUGAUAUUGCACAGUCCCAGCUGAAGACAAGAAGUGGCACCCAUAGCCAGUCUCUUCCAGACUCAUAGCACCAGUGUAUAUAUACUGUGCGUGUGGUUGAGAAAAGAACUGUUUCAAUGCCAUUGAGAAUUCUGCAUCAGAUUUAGAUGAAAUGGCUUACUGCGAAGAACCUCCUUCCCAGGAUGACUUAGGCUGCUGCCCGACAGGCUCCUGAACUUGAAUCCGCCCUCAGCCUGAGCCAGCACUGGAAUGUGGAUUAGUCUUUCCUCAACAGCACCUCCUGAAAAUUGACCAGAAAAAAAGACAUUCCCUGAUGAACUGUCCCAUUCUGUCAUCUGCUCCCCUCACUCCCUCAUACCCAGAUCUUUCUAGCCUUGUUUACUCGUUCCUACAAAAGCAUCUGAUCUGUCUUUGAGCUGCUUGCAGCUCUUAUGGUCAGAGCCUCCUCUCUAUUGCUGUAGCCUCCCUAUAGUUCCUCUCAUAUUUCAAAUAAAGUCUUG